UACGUAGGCAGCGAGCGUUGUUCGGAGUUACUGGGCGUAAAGGGUGUGUAGGCGGUUUUUCUAAGUUUGGUGUGAAAUCUCCCGGCUUAACCGGGAGGGUGCGCCGAAAACUGGGAGAUCUAGAGUGCGGGAUGGGAGAGUAGAAUUCCUGGUGUAGCGGUGAAAUGCGUAGAUAUCAGGAGGAAUACCGGUGGUGCAGACGGCUCUCUGGACCGCAACUGACGCUGAGACACGAAAGCGUGGGUAGCAAACAGG
rnacentral:rRNA from 1 species